AAGCUUCUUACCACUUUUGAUUUGGAAGUCUCCCUAUUUGCAGUUUUUUACUAACUUAAUAUUUAUAUUAAGAAAAGCACCCUGAAUUUUCUUUUGACAGUUUUUGAUGUCAGAAGCAGGAUCAGAAGAAGACCCCUGUGAAGCCCCAAGGCCAGUAACUAGGUGCUGGUACCCAGGGCCGCAGCACUGGCUGCUCUCUCACCCAGCCAUGGAGUUCUAGAACAGUGAUUUUUUACUCUGAUAUUUUCCUGAAAGCUUUUGCAAGCAUCUGUGAUACAAAAUUGCUGGAAGAUUUACAGAAAAGACUCUGACAAGUGCAGGUUUCUGGUAACUUUAAGAUCACAGCAUUGGACUGGGUAAGAAUUUCCAGCACUCUAAUGGAAAACCAAUGGAUUCAUGAGGCUGCUAACCCAAAAUCAAGCAGAACAAGAAUUACAGGGGACUGAAUGAACUGAUGAGGGUGAUUAUAAUUUUUAUGUCUUUGAAAUAUUGCGGGUUCUUUAAUGUUUGUUUUCUAGAGUUAAAGAAUGCCUUUUCUCUUUUCCCUUAAGACCUACAACUUACAGCAAUUUGGUGAAGAAUACUUUUGUAAACAAAAAUGAAACACAUUUUCUUUUCUCCCUACCCCAACCCCUCCAAAAUUCAGAAACUUAUUGAGUAUUCUUUAUUUUCAUGGCAAUAUAAAUAUUUACAUAAGUUCAAUGAAAGUUUGUUUCCCCUGUAACAGGACACAAUUGGGCAAGUCCUCUGCUUGGCUUCUUAGACUGAAAAGGCUUUUUAAAGUCUAAUUUCAGAUUCCUUAUUACCAGACAGUUUUAAGGAAUUCAGAUUGACUUUACAAAACCAAUAAAGCCCCUUAGAUAUUAUCAAA